UACGGAGGAUGCGAGCGUUCUCCGGAUUUAUUGGGUUUAAAGGGUGCGCAGGCGGGGUGUUAAGUCAGCGGUGAAAGUUCCCGGCUCAACCGGGUCAGUGCCGUUGAUACUGGCAGUCUUGAAUGCGGUCAAGGCCGGCGGAAUGUGGCGUGUAGCGGUGAAAUGCAUAGAUAUGCCACAGAACACCGAUAGCGAAGGCAGCUGGCCGGGCCUGCAUUGACGCUCAGGCACGAAAGCGUGGGGAU
rnacentral:rRNA from 1 species